rnacentral:rRNA from 1 species
UACGGGGGAUGCAAGCGUUAUCCGGAAUCAUUGGGCGUAAAGCGCCUGUAGGUUGUUUAAUAAGUCUGUUGUUAAAGACUAGGGCUUAACCCUAGAAAAGCAAUGGAAACUACUAGACUAGAGUAUGGCAGGGGUAGAGGGAAUUUCUAGUGUAGCGGUGAAAUGCGUAGAUAUUAGAAAGAACACCAGUGGCGAAAGCGCUCUACUGGACCAUUACUGACACUCAGAGGCGAAAGCUAGGGUAGCAAAAGGGAUUAGAUACCCCUGUAGUCCUAGCCGUAAACGAUGGAUACUACAUGUUGUGCAAAGGUACAGUAUGGUAGCUAACGCGUUAAGUAUCCCGCCUGGGGAGUACGCUCGCAAGGGUG